AUUGAACGCUGGCGGCAUGCUUUACACAUGCAAGUCGAACGGCAGCGCGGGCUUCGGCCUGGCGGCGAGUGGCGAACGGGUGAGUAAUGCAUCGGAACGUGCCCAGUAGUGGGGGAUAGCCCGGCGAAAGCCGGAUUAAUACCGCAUACGACCUGAGGGUGAAAGCGGGGGACCGAAAGGCCUCGCGCUAUUGGAGCGGCCGAUGUCGGAUUAGCUAGUUGGUGGGGUAAAGGCUUACCAAGGCGACGAUCCGUAGCUGGUCUGAGAGGACGACCAGCCAGACUGGGACUGAGACAGGGCCCAGACUCCUACGGGAGGCAGCAGUGGGGAAUUUUGGACAAUGGGGGCAACCCUGAUCCAGCCAUGCCGCGUGCGGGAAGAAGGCCUUCGGGUUGUAAACCGCUUUUGUUCGGGAAGAAAUCCUCUGGGCUAAUACCCCGGGGGGAUGACGGUACCGGAAGAAUAAGCACCGGCUAACUACGUG
rnacentral:rRNA from 1 species